rnacentral:rRNA from 1 species
GACGAACGCUGGCGGCGUGCCUAAUACAUGCAAGUAGAACGCUGAAGGAGGAGCUUGCUUCUCUGGAUGAGUUGCGAACGGGUGAGUAACGCGUAGGUAACCUGCCUGGUAGCGGGGGAUAACUAUUGGAAACGAUAGCUAAUACCGCAUAAGAGUAGAUGUCGCAUGACAUUUGCUUAAAAGGUGCAAUUGCAUCACUACCAGAUGGACCUGCGUUGUAUUAGCUAGUUGGUGAGGUAACGGCUCACCAAGGCAACGAUACAUAGCCGACCUGAGAGGGUGAUCGGCCACACUGGGACUGAGACACGGCCCAGACUCCUACGGGAGGCAGCAGUAGGGAAUCUUCGGCAAUGGACGGAAGUCUGACCGAGCAACGCCGCGUGAGUGAAGAAGGUUUUCGGAUCGUAAAGCUCUGUUGUAAGAGAAGAACGAGUGUGAGAGUGGAAAGUUCACACUGUGACGGUAUCUUACCAGAAAGGGACGGCUAACUACGUG